rnacentral:lncRNA from 1 species
AGGGGGAAAAGAGUUGAGGGAAUAAUAAUUGUAGGACAAUUUUUUGUGGUUUUCUUGAGGAUGAGUUAGUGGAAAUAUUUGUGAAAGAAUUAAUAAAAGGGUGGUGGUGGUGGUGAUGCAUAUGAAACUCCUAUUACUGGUGGUAACGGACCUUCGUAGACCGGUGCUGGUGGCGGUGAGGGAGGGGGAGGAGAAUUGUAGUAGUACACAGGUGAUGGUGGCGGUGGUGAGGGUGAUGGUGGGGGCGGGGAGUUGUAGUGGUAAACGGGUGGUGGUGGAGGAGAUGGUGAUGGAGGUGGCUCUAUGCAAGGAGGGGGUGGGGGUGGGGGUUCUAUACAAGGUACCGGGGAUGGAGGUGGAGGCAAAUGAGGCGGUGGAGGGGAGGAGUAUACUGGUGGAGGAGGUGAAUUUGGUGGUGGAGGUGAUGAGUAUAUGUAUACAGGUGGUGGAGGUGGUGAAUUUGGUGGUGGAGGAGGCGGAGGUGGUGGUGAAUUGUAGUAGUAAGGUGAAGGGGGUGGAGGUGAGUGAGCAAGCGGUGGUGGCGGAGGAGGUGGUGAAUUUGGUGGUGGAGGUGGUGGUGAGCGUACACAAUAAGGUAAUGGUGAUGGAGGAGGAGGUGAUGGUGGUGGUGGUGGUGGUGGUGGCGAGUAAACAGGUGGUGGAGGAGGUGGUGGUGAUGGUGGAGUAGGAGAGGGUGGUGGUGGCGAAUAAACAGGUGGGGGGGGUGGAGGAGGUGGAGGUGGCGGAGAGGGAGGUGGCGGAGAGGGAGGUGAAUAAACGGGAGGUGGAGGUGACGGAGGAGGCGGAGGAGGUGAAUAAACGGGAGGUGGAGGCGGAGGAGGCGAUGGAGGAGGUGGUGGUGGUGGUGAAGGUGAAGGAGGAUUAUAAACUGGUGGUGGCGGAGGCGAAUAGACGGGCGAUGGAGGGGGAGAAAUGGGCACGACGACAACAGGAG